rnacentral:lncRNA from 1 species
UUUUUGGCCAUUUUGGUGCCGUUUGGUGACAUUUUGGUGACAUUUUGGUGCCAUUUGGUGGCCGUGUCCCCCCAGGUGGUGAUCCCGGCCAUCUCCUGCCUCUUCUUCCACUUCUUCUGGGAACUCUCCCGAGUUCCCGACUCCGGAGCCUCCCCGGAGGAUCUGCGGGAUCUUCGCUCCCGGGCUCUCCUGCUGCUCUCCCUGUGCUCCCAAAUCCCCUAAAACCCCCCAAAAAACUCCCCAAAACCCCCAAAUUCCCGAAUUUCUGCCCCAAAUCCCCAAAUUUUCACCUAAAAUUCCCAAAUUUCCACCCCAAAUUCCCGGAAUUCCCAUUUUUCCAGGAGGAUUUGCGGGACCUGCGCUCCCGGGCUCUCCUGCUGCUCUCCCUGUGCC